GGAGAGACGUCUGCAGGGGGGGGGGAACGGGAAAAUAAAAAGUUGUCCACUUUGCGCUAUAGAGAGGGACAAACGAAUGUGUGGUUGUGUAAGUGCAGAACCCAAAGAACCAAUAAAAGUCUAUUGGGAUCGA